GAUCCACAUUCCGAAAUAGAUUUAUCGCAGUCAGUUGAUUCCGGAUGUAGCUCAUGGUCUAUUGUGCGCGCCAAACUAUGUCUGUUUUUUUUUUUUAUAAAGUUCGGAAUUAGAAAUGGAAGCACUUGUAAUAAAUAAGGAAAAUGGACGAUCGAAAAUUACCUGCGUGAAAGAGUAACCAGACUUUGUCUGUGGUGUGAGGGACGCUUCGUUUUAGAGCAAAGCUUUUGGAUAGCUUGGAAAUGAUUUUGCACUGCACAGUUAAGUGGUAAGCUGUCUUCUUCAUCAACCUUUGCACAAAAGAGAUGAUUAUUUUUGCUCUUCAAACUUAGAACAAGUAACGUGACUAACCAAUAUCUUUAACUUUUUCAAGACAUCAAAGCCAUCUUUUCCGGCCAUCAUGUAUGCUUUAGUAACCAUCCGGUAUUUAGUCUGGAGGUCCAAAUACUGAUCACCUACACGGACAAAUUGCGGGUCCACACGCUGGAGAGGUGGUUUAGUGGGAUCAAACGCAAAACUCAUCCCGCCUACUUGAAGAAAACGGCCCUCCAGCUUUGGGUACAUGCAAACCCCAUUCUCCAAGGCGGCGAGUAAAUCCUCACCUUCAUUAACCAAGCUUUUUACAUUUGGAAAAUACAGACAAAAGGCGAAA